CUCAGAAUGAUUGGUAAAUAUUAUUCUAAUUAUUUACUAAAUCUCUAAGUUGAAUUGCAUACACAUUCAGUGAAAUAGCAGAAUUUCUUUUGAAGACAGUGGUGGAACUGUAAAUAAAAGUUAGCUAAUUUUUAAAUAUUGGCAUUACAAUGACACCAGAAGGCAUCAGUCAAUAUUAGGGCCUCAUUAUGCUAAACUCUCUACAUAAGCAUGUGAAGAGAGACAAAAAGUCUUGGCUACAAGGAAUUUGCACAGUGAAUAGCCAAGAGAAAGUGUAAAAGGAAGAAGGUAUUAAUGUCUCCAUUUAAUGCCCUUAAUAACACACUUUAACUUUUGGUCAGCCCUGAAGUGGUCAGGCAGUUGACUAGAUGAUCACUGUAGGUCCCUUCCCACUGAAAAUAUUCUAUUUUACAGACAGAAUGCAAAGAAAAGUGAUUUGCCUAAGGCUACUGUGUGCCACCAGUAGAAAGCAAAUUCGGAUUUCUGAACUAUAUUCUAGGCAAUUUCUCAUAGUUUAUUUUACAGCACCUUUUUGGACCUUGAGGAAGGUUCCCCUGCUUGCCCCUCAGCGUGUAAUUUGAUAUAGAGCAUGUAUGAGCAUUCCCCAUCUUACCCCGUCUCUUCCCCUUUCCAGAGACUCCAGUACUUUGCUAACCACCUUCAUUCUCUUUCAGCCUCAGGAGGAGAAGUUCCAGAGUGGGAUAUGGACUGCAGUACGCCACAUGUGAGGUCUUUACCUUUUUUCCCUCCACGUGGUUACCAAGGAAUGUAAAGCAAGCUAUCACUGUGUGUCAGAUGCAAGCAAGGUCUAAGAGCUCUAGAGCAGCUGAGAACAUGGAUACAGCAUCUUAAGUGUCAAGAUGACACUAUACUGGCAGAGGAGUCUGUAAGGGGCAGAGGCUUCCAUUUCCUGCUGAGUUUUGUCAGGAUCCAGGUCUGCUGUGUUAUACAGGGAGAAAGUGUUGUCUGCAAGAUGGGAGUGUGUCUCUGUAGCACCUCACAGACUGAGGGGAGACACUGCCUGGGAGUACAGGACACUUUACGGGUUGCAGGGGAACAGCACUUUGGAAUUGUGCAAAACUUAUCAUAGAAUGUUUAGGGGAGGAACCACAGCAGAGAAAGGGAGGGAUAGAGGUGGUCUGGGGAGGAAAAAUCUUGGGAAAACAGAGAGAUAAGGGGCUAAAAGGGGGCAGUCACAUGUAAACAGGUGGCUAGUCAGUAGGCUUGUCUGGCCCUGCCCUGCACUUGAUCAGCACAGUCUGUCCUGUGUUCUCAUUAAACUCCACUUUUAUUUUCCUGGG